GCGGAAGUGGCGGAAUGGCAGACGCGCCGGUCUUAGGAGCCGGUACCUCGGUGUGUGGGUUCAAGUCCCAUCUUCCGCACCA
rnacentral:tRNA from 1 species